GCACUUUACGCGGAUCUUCUUUCAUUAAAAAUUAAAGACACUACGUCACCCAAUAUUAUAUACUGAUAUUGGCCACGUUCUUAAGAUGUCGGACAAGGACCUACCGUUUAUUUUGCUGCGGAUAUUUACAAUAUUUUUUCCGGUUUUCAGUUUUUGUUUUUUCUGUGUUAAUUCGACAAACCCGUGGGUUAUUACACCAGUAGAAAUCGUAACAAAGACGGAAUUUCCCGCCAAUUGUAUAGACGGCGACGGUGUUACACGGACACAUCUACAUAACUGGACAAGCAUCUGCCGGCGCCUGUGAUAGAAGAGUGUGUUAUGAAGGUGCACUAGAAACAAUUAAAUGGCAAAUCAACUAUGAUUGUCCCGAGCAGAUUGAAUUCCUGGAUACAGUCAAUUGCGAGUAUGUGUCAGAUUCGACCUUGACCUUCCCACAAUGCUGCCCAUAUCUUGUGUGCUCUAACAUAUCCGCUACCACAACAACACUCGCUCCGUGUUCUGAUAGGUCCCCGACAUUCGCCUGCGAAUACUGGAAGAACCAAACCAACUGUACAGACAAUUCAAAUAGCUUGUUGCAUGACUUGUUCAACUUUACAUUAGGAAACUGUGAUCUAACAUGUGGGUACUGUACAUAGAAGAUGCCCACUGCAUGUAAUCUCAUGUUCAUUCUACACCAAACUGAAAGCUGUGUAUACAUGAAUAGACUAUCGGAUAGUAUACUUUAGAUCUAUGUGAUUAUUUUCAUCUGACUUUACAUUAUUGUAUUUUUAUAGAAAAUAUGAAUACAAACAGACAUACUGGGAAAUAAGGUCAAAGCCGUGUAACUCACACGUAUGAAUUGCAAUAUAUUAUCAGCAUUACCUCCCUUUAACUUUCUAUCCCAGACACUUUAUCUGGAUUUUAUAAACAUGUGUUGCCUAAAAUACCCGAAUCCAACUUGAUUUUUAAAUGAUAAAUUAAACUCUAGUCAUGUGUAAGACACUUUAAAACUGAAAGUUUCCUAUUCCUGCCCUUCUUAAGAUUGAUACAAAAUAUAAACAUUUUAAUCAAGUUUUUGAAAAGAAAAAUAGACGAAAUUUAAUAUACUCUAGAGACAAAAUUACAAAGGUAAAGUUCCACUUUUACCCGAAAAUGCCACAGAACUGAAAAAAAAAAAUAAAUGGAGAGAAUUCUAAGUUUCCUUUCAGACAUCACGAACUAUUGCAUUGUCAAAUUGUAUGUAAUAUUUUGCUAUUUAUUUACUAUCGAAGAAAAUAUCUUGCAUAACUAAACACACUUGUAUCAUAACUGAUAUGGGAAACAUUUAAUUUAGAUAUCUUUUUAACACAAAACUGAAGUUACAACUGUCGACGACAACCAAAAUAUUUUAAUUAAGUCUGUAAAUAAAAGCUAGGCAUAUGAUUAAAAUAUUUUGUGGUCAUAAGCUGAAAUAUUAAAAUAGCAGUAACUUUUCUUGUAUUAUUUACUUUUGAUAGAAGAUUAUGUAAGUGAAGAUCAUGGGCUAUUGCAUAAUAAUCCAUUUACGUACUUUUAAGUUAUCCGAAACAUUUCUCUUGGGUUAACUUUACCGUUUUAUUGCACUUUCUUUAAAAUCUCAAAAUUAAAUCUUGGAUUAAAACCAAAGCGUAUUUGAAGAUUUGCAGUUUUGUAGCUUGUGCCAUCUUCUGGGGCAUGUAUGGUUAACAACUGAAGUUGAUUUCUGAAUUACAGUGACAUUCACUUUAUAAGCCAGUAUAUGUUCAAGGAAACAGUACUUUGUUAAACCAAAAAGUGACACCAACGCAUAUACUCGGUACUAAAAUGCGACCAAAUAGAACAUACACGCUGAUAAACUGCAAGCCAGUUUCCGUAUCCGUUUAGUACUCGGAAAAUACAACUGGGCCGAAUUUUCGUACUGAAUACCAAAAUGCAUCUAUAUUACUUUUGUGGCAUAACAGUUCUUUGUUAAGCCCAAGCACAAAAGGACAGGCUCUGGACAAUGCUUUCUGACUGACCAGUCAGAUUUUAUGAUGUCAUGUUAAAAUUAUGAAUAAAUGUUAUAAGGGAAACCUUGAUUUUUAGAUGUUCAAAUAUAUGUGUAUGUAGAUAUCAAGUGAUAAUGAUCAUGUCAUGUAUAACAAUGUAGGUUUUAAAAGUGCUUAAAAGAACUGACUGUAAAAUAUCGCAACCAAGUACUUCUGUUUACUGAAAUGCUUAAUUGUAAUAUAAUGUAAUUUUACCAUGUCUCUUUUCGUGACAACAGUCAUUCAUCAAUAUUCAUCGUUUUCAUCAUGCAUGUUGUUAUACAAAAUCAAAAGUUUAUAUCGGUUUUCCCAAUAAAAUGUCUCUCCUUUUA
rnacentral:lncRNA from 1 species